rnacentral:tRNA from 1 species
GCCCAGGUAGCUCAGUUGGUAGAGCGGGGGAUUGAAAAUCCCCGUGUCGGCGGUUCGAUUCCGUCCCUGGGCACCA